UGGGUGCUGUAGCUGAUUUGGGGGAAAGGGAACUGUCUACCAGUUGGGAAUCUAGACAUCAAGUAAGUGGUUUGAUGAGGAUAACUAAGCUGACACGCUGGAGUUGACAGCUCCAGCAUGAAAGUUCCAUUUCCAGGAAGGACGACGUACUAUGAUACUGCCUAUAUAAAGUGUUCUUUGUGCUAUAACGAGGGUGUAUAUCAAGUAUUACGUGAGCAUGUGAAAAGGCUAAUUGACCACUUAUAAGCAUAGUAAAGGGCUAUGUUGUUGCCUAAGAGGACUAUGAGCUGCCAAUGCGGUUAUAAUGAAGCCUAAAAUGGCUAUGUGCUGCUUACGGAGCUAUGAUGUUGCCUAAGAGGGCUAUGAGUUGCCUGCGGGGCUAUGUUGAUGCCUAAGAAGGCUAUGAAUUGCAUUCGGGGCUAUGAUGAUGCCUAAAAAGGCUAUGAAUUACCUAUGAGGCUAUAUGCCUAAGAAAGCUAUGGGUUGCCUAUGGGGCUUUAUUGUUGCCUAAGAGGGAUAUGCGCCGCUUUCGGGGCUUAUGGUUGCCUAAGAGAGCUAUGUGACUGCCUACGAUGCUAGAGGACUAACGAUGGUAAGAUAUAGACUAAAUUAGCAUCUCGUGGGCUUAUGGGGGCCUAGGUAGAUGGUAUUGUUUGUUGUUUCACUUGCCAAGUUUAUGAGGGCUUGGUUAGGUUGUUGUUUGAUUAUUUUUGGUAUGUUUAGAUUUGGAAGCGAAUUAGUAGGCUUAUCUUAUUCUUGAUUUCCUUACCUGAUUACUUUUAGUAUAUUAUGAUACCUAGUCAUUAAGUUUAUUUCCUUUUCUACUCAUUACAUUAUUUUGUACUGACGCCUCAUUACCUGGGGGUGCUGCAUUCAUGCAUGCAAGUCCUGAUAGGUGGCCUAAUAGAUCUCCCCAGCAGCACGGUUGAGUUCUAGCAAGUUUGCUAUCCCCUUAUUUCGGAGCUGCCAGAUAUCUCAGGUUCUUUGUGUUUUAUUGUAUAUAUUUUUGGGUAGGUCCCUUUGUCCCACUAAGCUUUACUACUCUUAGAGGCUUUCAGACUAGUGUGUGGGUUGUAUAGCUAUGCUAAUCGCGAUGUUGUCCUGGCUUGUUGGUUUGCUAAGGUUUGAUAGUUGUUUGAUGUAUUAUAUUUAUAUAUACCUUCUUUCAGCUUCUGUAUCGAGAUCAUGGUGGCAUCAAUGGCCCAAAGAGGACUUGUUUUCUAGUUGGCUAUUU